AGGUCAGGAUCUUCCAGGAAGAAGAGAUCCAAUAAAGUACAAAAGAAGCCAUUUGUAAAAUGAGCAUGCUUGAAAAUAUGUGAGACAGCCUGGCUUUGAAGUCACCAUCCCCCUGCCACAGCCUCCCAGGUGUGGAUACAGGUACUUGUUUUUCCUGAGAAUAUGAAAUCAAUGGAGUCACAGACAAUAAAAUAUUCCUACAGGACACUUAUUGAGACAUGGCAUCAUGGAGUCCUCCAUGCUAAUUACUGCAAAUUAACAAGUAUGUGAACAGCAAUGCACUGUGUGGCUGUUUGGCCCACAGGCUUCAUCCCCCAUCUACCGCCUCCUCCUCGAGUCAUGGAGCAAUAUGUGACAGUGUGGGCAGAGAUGCCAUCUGGAAGACCUGCGAGGACAUGCUGUGUGUGUACAUUAGGACAAGGCAUGCCAAUCUCUGGGGGCUCUUUCUUACUGAGCUGGAUGCUGGGGAACAUUACCAGGGUGGAGAGUACUAUAGGCUGGAGGGCUGUCUGUCUCGAGACAUCUAGUCGCCAUUUGUCUCACUGGAUCCUAGGCACAGGAGCAGAGCCGAUCCUUAGGGUAGGACUCUGCUCAGAGGACUGGAGGGCAGCAUGACAAGCUAGGCAGGAAAAUUAACUUAACAAGCACUUACCUGUCAUGUGUUCAGGCUUGUUUAGAGCUUGAGGGAUUCACAACUGGGAAUGCUCCCACCCUGGGAUUUCCCAGGGUAACUGGUGGUGUUGGCCAUUCAGGGCAAAUAGGCAUUCAGAUGCCAAUUUUAGUCACACAGCAGACAGAUCAUUGCUGUAACUACAAAUAUUUUAAGACAAAAUAGGAUUGAAUUUGUCAUGGAAAUAAUAGCCUUAAGUUUCAGGAGAAAUAUUUGAAACACUCCUUGUUAGAGAUAAGUAAGAUGACCGUGUUCACCAUACAGUUCAUACUAAGCUUUGUGUAACAUACAAGGUUCCAGGGCAUGAAACUGUAAGUUCCCCAGAACACACAGCAUUGAAGAAAAACAGGAAAUGCAACAGAAUAGAGGUCUAUGCUAGACAAGAAUGGGAACUUAAUACAGAAAUCUUUGAUGGUAAGUAAAAGGAAAGGAUUGGCUCAUAUGUAUACACACCUGGCAAUAAAAGUUAUUUUACAAGAUUCUCUGAAAAGUAUACUUUGAAUGUAGGUCACUACAGCCUCAUACAUAUAUUGCUUCUUGAAAUAAAGCUACCAGCAAAUAUCUGCUCAGCACUGGGCUGAUAUUAUCUUUGUUACUGAUCCUCCUAGUUAAGAAGAAUUG